rnacentral:rRNA from 1 species
AGAACGAACGUUGAUGGCGUGCCUCAUACAUGCAAGUCGAGCGCCCCGCAAGGGGGAGCGGCGGACGGGUGAGUAACACGUAAAGAAUCUGCCCUGAAGCGGGGAAUAACUAUCCCAACGGAUAGCUAAUACCGCAUAAUGAUGGAGGAGGCAUCUCCUUUUCUCAAAAGGCUUCGGCCACUUCAGGAUGACUUUGCGUCCCAUUAGCUUGUUGGCGGGUAACGGCCCACCAAGGCUACGAUGGGUAUCCGGCCUGAGAGGGUGUACGGACACAUUGGGACUGAGAUACGGCCCAGACUCCUACGGGAGGCAGCAGUAGGGAAUUUUGCGCAAUGGGGGAAACCCUGACGCAGCAACGCCAUGUGUGGGAUGAAGCAGUUUCGG